rnacentral:rRNA from 1 species
ACGAACGCUGGCGGCACGCUUAACACAUGCAAGUCGAACGAGAGAAGAGGAGCUUGCUUUUCUGAUCUAGUGGCGGACGGGUGAGUAACACGUGAGCAAUCUGCCUUUCAGAGGGGGAUACCGAUUGGAAACGAUCGUUAAUACCGCAUAACAUAAUUGAACCGCAUGAUUUGAUUAUCAAAGAUUUAUCGCUGAAAGAUGAGCUCGCGUCUGAUUAGCUAGUUGGUAAGGUAACGGCUUACCAAGGCGACGAUCAGUAGCCGGACUGAGAGGUUGAUCGGCCACAUUGGGACUGAGACACGGCCCAGACUCCUACGGGAGGCAGCAGUGGGGAAUAUUGCACAAUGGAGGAAACUCUGAUGCAGCGAUGCCGCGUGAGGGAAGAAGGUUUUAGGAUUGUAAACCUCUGUCUUCAGGGACGAAAAAAGACGGUACCUGAGGAGGAAGCUCCGGCUAACUACGUGCCAGCAGCCGCGGUAAUACGUAGGGAGCGAGCGUUGUCCGGAAUUACUGGGUGUAAAGGGAGCGUAGGCGGGAUCGCAAGUCAGAUGUGAAAACUAUGGGCUUAACCCAUAAACUGCAUUUGAAACUGUGGUUCUUGAGUGAAGUAGAGGUAAGCGGAAUUCCUAGUGUAGCGGUGAAAUGCGUAGAUAUUAGGAGGAACAUCAGUGGCGAAGGCGGCUUACUGGGCUUUAACUGACGCUGAGGCUCGAAAGCGUGGGGAGCAAACAGGAUUAGAUACCCUGGUAGUCCACACGGUAAACGAUGGAUACUCGCUGUUGGCGAUAUACUGUCAGCGGCCAAGCGAAAGCAUUAAGUAUCCCACCUGGGGAGUACGCCGGCAACGGUGAAACUCAAAGGAAUUGACGGGGGCCCGCACAAGCAGUGGAGUAUGUGGAUUAAUUCGAAGCAACGCGAAGAACCUUACCAGGUCUUGACAUCGUAUGCAUAGCUCAGAGAUGAGUGAAAUCUCUUCGGAGACAUAUAGACAGGUGGUGCAUGGUUGUCGUCAGCUCGUGUCGUGAGAUGUUGGGUUAAGUCCCGCAACGAGCGCAACCCUUACUGUUAGUUGCUACGCAAGAGCACUCUAGCAGGACUGCCGUUGACAAAACGGAGGAAGGUGGGGAUGACGUCAAAUCAUCAUGCCCCUUAUGACCUGGGCCUCACACGUACUACAAUGGCUGUCAACAGAGGGAUGCAAAGCCGCGAGGUGGAGCGAACCCCUAAAAGCAGUCUUAGUUCGGAUUGUAGGCUGCAACCCGCCUACAUGAAGUCGGAAUUGCUAGUAAUCGCAGAUCAGCAUGCUGCGGUGAAUACGUUCCCGGGCCUUGUACACACCGCCCGUCACGCCAUGGGAGUCGGUAACACCCGAAGCCUGUAGUCUAACCGCAAGGAGGACGCAGUCGAAGGUGGGAUUGAUGACUGGGGUG